GCAUCAAGAUGGCGACUUGUCAGCGGAAAUGAAUAUUUGUCACAUGAUUGUCACAGGUUGUGAUAGUAAUCGCGCAGAGUUGGCGAACUAGGAUUUCUCCACGAUCAUCCUGCACACGGUGGAGUUACGGCAGGGUCUAGGACUGCAGAUCAGAUCAGUGAGGUUCGGCUACGGAUAGUAUGAAAACUACUACGAUGUUUGUGCUGCUGUUGGCGGUGUUUUCUUCUUUUCAACUGAUUACAGCAGGUGAAAGCAAGAAUGCUAGCCAGCCUCAUAUCAUAUUUAUCCUUGCCGAUGAUUUGGGCUGGGAUGACGUGAGUUUUCAUGG